AAGUCGUAACAAGGUUUCCGUAGGUGAACCUGCGGAAGGAUCAUUACCAAUCCACCUUUUAUAAACAACUGUGAACUGUUAUUGUCCUUGGGUGACAUCUGGAUGUAGCAAUACGUCCUUUGCCACCCAAACAAUUUCAAACACCUUUCAUAAACAUUACCUGUUGAACAACUUCUUUGUGACCUUCCACGGUUCAAAGAUUAAAAUAAUGAAUACAACUUUUAACGGUGGAUCUCUUGGCUCAU
rnacentral:misc_RNA from 1 species